rnacentral:rRNA from 2 species
AACAGGGAUUGCCCCAGUAACGGCGAGUGAAGCGGCAACAGCUCAAAUUUGAAAUCUGGCUCUCGGGCCCGAGUUGUAAUUUGUAGAGGAUGCUUUUGGUGAGGUGCCUUCCGAGUUCCCUGGAACGGGACGCCAUAGAGGGUGAGAGCCCCGUCUGGUUGGACGCCGAACCUCUGUAAAGCUCCUUCGACGAGUCGAGUAGUUUGGGAAUGCUGCUCUAAAUGGGAGGUAUAUGUCUUCUAAAGCUAAAUACCGGCCAGAGACCGAUAGCGCACAAGUAGAGUGAUCGAAAGAUGAAAAGAACUUUGAAAAGAGAGUUAAACAGUACGUGAAAUUGUUGAAAGGGAAGCGCUUGUGACCAGACUUGGGCUUGGUUGAUCAUCCGGGGUUCUCCCCGUGCACUCUUCCGGCCCAGGCAGCAUCAGUUCGCCCUGGGGAUAAAGGCAUCGGGAACGUGGCUCUCUCCGGGGAGUGUUAUAGCCCGUUGCGUAAUACCCUGCGGCGGACUGAGGUUCGCGCAUUCGCAAGGAUGCUGGCGUAAUGGUCAUCAGUGACCCGUCUUGAAACACGGACCAAGGAGUCGUCUUCGUAUGCGAGUGUUCGGGUGUCAAACCCCUACGCGAAAUGAAAGUGAACGCAGGUGAGAGCUUCGGCGCAUCAUCGACCGAUCCUGAUGUUAUCGGAUGGAUUUGAGUAAGAGCAUACGGGGCCGGACCCGAAAGAAGGUGAACUAUGCCUGUGUAGGGUGAAGCCAGAGGAAACUCUGGUGGAGGCUCGCAGCGGUUCUGACGUGCAAAUCGAUCGUCAAACA